rnacentral:snoRNA from 2 species
AAGACGAUACUUUCAGGGAUCAUUUCUGUAGUUUGCUACUAGAGAAGUUCCUCUAAACGUGUAGAGAAAAAAAUGUUAAACAGGAAUACAUGAAGAUCAUCAAAGAAUGGA